GGCUCGGUGGUGGACGGUUCGCAUCUGCUGGCUAUUCUGGUGUCGGACCCACUUACACGCAGACGUCGCUCGUUCGACUCGGGCCCGAGUCA